AAAAAAGGCAAGCAUUCAACCCUUGAUUCAUCAAAAGUGCAAACUAAAUUUUAUCUGUGGAAAACACACAUGUACAUACUUAGAGAAAACUCUUAAGAUUAAAGGUUAAGAGCACACUUUUAGUAUGAAGAGAGUCUCUGAAAGUAUAGGUUUCUCAAAUAAAGUAAGUGAUUAUAUGUGAUGAAGUUGGUCACCAAUCAAGCCCUUCUGAGAUGGCAUGGGUCCCUAGCCAGCUUGGAAUUAUCCAGUUGGAAUUAUGCGGAGGGUGGGGAAGUUAAACUGCUAUGACGAGGGGACCCCAAAAUGCAAUGGCUCAUUUUCUCUUCAGGGUGAAUUGUUGAACUCUGCUCCCUGUGGUUGUUCAGGCCAGCUGGAGAACACCUUAGAGGCUGUCUGGCAUCUUAGAGGCUGGCUGUGGUGCUCGGGAGGGACAUCUCUUGUCUUAAGGGCACAGAAGACAUGCAUAACUUCCACUCACAUUCCACCAUCAAGAACUCAGCCACACGGCCACCCAGUCUCCAGGCAGUCCCAUGCUCGGCUAGCUCUCCUAUCACGGAAGAGCUUCUCUCGCAUCUUGGACUCUCAGGCUGCAGAUCCAUCACAAUGCCAUAGAACACAGAUGACACUUUCCCCUGCUUUUGAGACCCGUUGUUCCCAUGGUGUAGAUACAUGUAAGAGGGAGUGCCAUAGAAAAUGA
rnacentral:lncRNA from 1 species